rnacentral:lncRNA from 1 species
UUUUUCAAAAAAAUCCAUGCAUGACACACUGCAUCUGGGGACUGAUUUCUGAUAUUAAGACAAGCAUUACAAACACAGAUCAAAAGCAGGAACGAAUAACACGCUAGCAUUUCUGGGAGUGGUCUCCACCGUCUUUGUUACAAACAAGAGAAGGCCUUACAGUUUGAUACGAAGAGUUAAGUCUUCAAUACAAUGAGGGCUAACGAUGACUAGUAGAACAGGUCAAGUUCUAAUUGCUGGGAUCAGGUGUUUCAUUAGGAAAA